ACUGAAGUCUGAAGCUGCAUCCAAGCCUGCUGCGGCCGCCGCAUCGUGCUAGCUCCACGCCGCCUCGGUGUGCACGCCAGGCCGGCGCCCUGACGAGCUCGCGAGGGCACAUCGGCUGCCAAGCUAGGCAAUGGCCCCAUCCCAAGGCCUCCGCCGCCACCCCGACGAGCGUGCCAGGCCGUGGCCCCAUCCCAAGGCCUCCGUCGCUACCCUGAUGAGCGCGCCAGGCCGCAGCCCCAUCCCAAGGUCUCCAUCGCCGCCUCGACGAGCGCGCCAGGCCACGGCCCCAUCCCAAGCCUCCACCUCCGACCCGCCACGCUGCUAGAGAUCCGCCACCGUGCUACUGGGCUAUUUGUACGGUGCUCCGCCGCCACCGCAAUGGAGCAAGGAUACUUCUGGCCUUCUAGGUGCAGCUUGUUUGACUGCAUUUUUCACUGUAAAAGAAGAGUUGUCCAGGGUCAGAGAAUGGUGCACAUUUUUUCUUUGUAGCUAGUCAGCAAUUUUCUGAGUGCAUUUUGUUCAGGAUCAGAGAAUGGUGCACAUGCACACUCUAUGAUGUAAUGGCCUUUCUUAUUGUACUGUAUCUGUGAUAGAGCCAAUUUGAUAAUCUGGUAUCAAUAAUUUGUAAAUGUAGGAUCUAAGCAUUUCUGAUGUCGUAAACUUGCCGUCGCCUGUCAUGGCAAGGGCCUCAAGAUCCAGAUGGCUUCUUCAGCUUGGCUGGCUGUAGCUAAUCUGUAGGAACUCCUCUCACUUGUUACUGCUGCAGAUGUUGGUGGAGCUGUGUUGUACUGACUUCUAAGUCAUAUGUAACUGUGAAUUUAGGUGUGGUAGUGCUUAUUAGCAAAUGAAAGGAUUUGUACAGUGUGUUGUAAUGACUCAUGAGCAGCCAUGUAAUGUUCUCCAGGCUAUACGAAAUGUAAGCCUCAACAAUGUAUCAAUUCUAGCAGUAGCUUGCUGCUAGUAAUAAAAGUGUAAGAACAAGAGGAAUUAUUGUUCAGCUUA